GCGCUACUUAUCGCCCUCUGUGGGCUCGGGGCCUCGGGCUUCGUGGUGAAUUCUGGAAACGGUCUUCUGGAUAGGGUCCUGGACAAUCUGGAGAAGCAGUCGAAGUUUUUCAGCUCCGACUACAGCGACAUCAACGUGGACGGACUGUUUGGUCUCAGAAUGGCGCAAGGUCAGAUUUUGGCGGCGGUGGAGGAAUGCCACAAGAGGCCAGUCUGUUCGGCACGCUACCUGUCCAAAAUAAAGGACCUCGAAUCAAAGGUAGGGGAAACCUCCGAAAAGGCCCUGCCUUACGUCAAAGAUUCAGACCCCGCCUACUACGAACGUUUCUACCAAACCAUUGCAAAAGCCUGGAUCCUCCCCUACCAAGCCAUGUUGUUUGACAAAGCAGAACUUGGAUCCGUCAAGCUGGGGACCAAUACGUCAUAUGACGAAGAUUACGGGGACGCUUGUUACGCCAGGGUCAUGGGAACGUUUGACAAGUAGGUUGUUUAAAAGACGUUGAGAGAAACCUAAAGGGGAAGAAAAUAAGGGAUGUGCAAUCACGCAUGUGCGAAAAAAUCUAUAAAGAGGCUGAAGGUCUUGUCAAGAAAACAAAUGUGAAAAGCAUAAACAGAGAUCUGUUCUUGGAGCAAACCGUGCUGUGUGGCCCCCUGGGAUACGAGAGCUUCAUGAGAGAGGACUGGAUGGCCAUGACCCUGCGCUGGCUGGACACGCACUAUGGAUGCUUCAGAAUGACCUUGGACGACCUUGAACAGCUGACCGACGAGAUGGUGCAUGACGUAUACAAGGGAAUGAACGUCUCCAAGGAAACGAUAGAAAAGGCCAAACAACUAGCGGAGCAGGAAUCGAAGGAGUCCUACGAGGAACAGCAAGAGAAGGAGCUUAAGGCCGAGACAAAUUCUAGUCCUACCAUGAGGAAGCUGAUGAGAGAGAAGGGAAUGAAAGACGACUGUCUCGCCCACACUUCCGGUUUAGGAUUUGGGGUCUAUGCAACAUAUCUAAAUUAUCUUAUUUUACAUAUGUAAAUAUGUCAAUAAACAAUUCUCUUUUAAACACACUUUGAACAAUUUCCUGCAGAUUGAAAAUCACGUCGUCAUCAUUUUAACUAUAUGAAUCAGAAAUAUUCUUUUCUCUUAUAAAACUUCUCUCCUUUUUAAAACUUUGAAUAUUUUUGAAGUGUUUAACCAUAUUUAUUUUACAUAAAAUACCAUUGGAUUAUUUUUUUAUUUCAUUAUUAAAUAGUAAGAUGU
rnacentral:misc_RNA from 1 species